GCACACAGCCGGCACCCGUUGAGGUUUGCACAUAAUUGCACCCCACUCUUUCUGGCAGCCCAGGCGUCCCCUCUUUCUGAGUUGUAUUCUGUGAAGGUUCCUCUGCUAAGGAACUGGGUGGUGGUGCAGUCCUUUUGCUCAUCUGAUGCUUCUCCCACACCCGUAAGUGGGCGUGGAGCAGGGCGUGUGGGUCCGGCUGCUGCCUCUGCCUCAGCCCUUCAGAGACGUUCAUCUGCUUCUGUUCUUGCCGUUCGCAGGGUCUGCCUCCAGCAAGUUCUCCUUCAGCAUGCUGAGUGUACCACAGGAGAGCUAGGUUGGUCUUGUACUCCUGAGUUCAAGCGGUCCACUCGUCUUGGCCUUCCAUGUGCUGGGAUUACAGGCGUGAGCCACCUCGCUCGGCCUGGAUACACCAGGUUCAUCCAGCCACCUCGCCCGGCCUGGA
rnacentral:lncRNA from 1 species